CUCAAUUAAUAUUUUUGUUCAGUAUUUACAGAUGAAAAUAAAGAAAAGGGGCCUCAGUUAGGAAAAGGGACAAAUGAGUCAUUGGUUGCAUGUGAGUUUACAGAGGAAGAGGUUCUAUUUCAACUGUCAAAAGUAAAAACAAAUAAGUCAAUGGGACCUGAUGGAAUACACCCAAAGUUGUUAAAAUAGCUUAGUGGUGGACUAGCAAAACCAUUAACAGAUUUAUUUAAGCAAUCAUUGUUAACAGGAGUAGUCCCAGAAGAUUGCAUGUUAGCGAAUGUGGUGCCCAUUCACAAGAAAGGUAGUAGGGAGGAGUCGGACAACUAUAGGCCAGUAAGCCUUUCUUCAGUAGUGUGGAAAGUAAUAGAAACCAUGUUAAAUGAUCAGAUUGUUGAACAUCUAAAAAACACAUGGAUUUCAAGAUCAGAGACAACAUGGGUUUACUUCAAGGAGAUCAUGCCAAACUAAUCUUAUUGAUUUUUUUUGAUUGGGUAACUAAAAACUAAAAUACACAAGACA